CAAACACUUAGCCAUAAAAUUUACAGAUAGAAAUGCAAGCUUGCUUUCCUACACUGAUUCACUAAUGGCUUCUGCCUUGUCUUCAUCUGCUGCUGCUAUUCUGGCGUCUGCUUCUUCUCCAAAUUCAAUCCUCAAUUCAUCGCCACCCAAAUCUCUCUUCAAUUCCACAUGCCCCCAAUUCAUCGCAUUAGACACACAAUCUGCGUUGUUGGCAGGUGCGCUACGGAAAUUGAAUCCCUAUGUUCGUUCUCUUCGGCGCGACGAGCCUUGUUCUAUUUGCUUCUCCCGUGUUGUUUCCAGGUUAACUAUAAUAAGGGCAUAUGGUGGGAGUGAUUCGGCGAACACUCCAGAUAGGAAAGAUGAAGAGGAUGAUGACCAAAGAGAAGAGGUUUUGUACGAUACACCGCCAAGUUAUGAAAGUUAUGGUGAUGGAGUUGAGAUAGCAGUGGAAAAGAUAGGCAGGAACCAACGGAGAAUUAGAUCAAAGGUAGCCGUGCAGGCCAGCCUUCAAACAGUUUGGGAUAUAUUGACUGAUUAUGAAAGAUUGGCUGAUUUCAUUCCAGGUCUAGCGGUUAGCCAGUUGCUUGAGAAGGGAGAAAAAUUUGCUCGACUCUUUCAGGUUGGUGAGCAGAACUUGGCAUUUGGCCUGAAAUUCAAUGCAAGAGGUACUAUAGAUUGUUUUGAGAGAGAUGUGCAGACACUUCCCUUUGGCCAGCAGCGCGACAUCGACUUUAAGAUGGUUGAAGGUGACUUCCAACUCUUUGAAGGAAAAUGGUCAGUCGAACAGGAGACGAAGAAUCUGAAUGGUGGAGAUUUACGUAGUGAUUCCAAUAUGGAUCAAGAAUUUCAAACAACACUUCACUAUGUUGUUCGCGUUAAACCUAAAGUCUGGUUGCCUGUGCACCUUAUUGAGGGUAGACUCUGCAAGGAGAUAAUGAAAAAUCUGUCGAGCAUACGGAAAGAAGCUGAGAAAGCUUUCCAGACGACACAAACGGCACUAUAGACAGACAGUCGAAUCUUUUCCCAUGUCUUGUUGCUUCCCUCCGGAUUCGCCGUGAGUAAACCACUGGCAAUUGAUCCUCCCGACAUUGUUAAGAUUCGUCGUGGAAAGAUUCAAAUAUGCUUCCGGGAAGAUUGAAGACGCAGCCUCGUCUUGAAAGAUCCUUCCUUAGCUUCUUUCAGAAAAGAAACAUUCUUAAUUUCCUCGACUUAUGCAAGAAUUUAAGGAUGUCUCACAUUGUCUUGUCCCCGACUGGCUCCAUCCUGGUACGUGUCUAUAUGAAACUCAAUCUAUAAUGUAUUGAUGGUGUUGUUGCUGCGCAGGAGUACUCUUGCCUGCAAUGCUGGAUUUGGACAGAUGCAUCGAAUUUGAUUGCGUUGCACGCUAGAUCGAGACACCGGAUUCGAACGGUAAGUAUAGUGUUACAAUUUAAUUUUGAAGAAAAAUGCUAGAUGUUGUGUUGUUGGCCGAUUCAACUAUUUGGUUAUGCAAGUUUAUUCGAAAA